rnacentral:rRNA from 1 species
AUGCCAAAGUACAUGGGUGGAUUGGGGUUCCGAGAUACACAUUUGUUCAACCUUGCAAUGUUGGCCAAACAAGCAUGGCGCCUAAUUCAUGAUAUUGAAUCCUGAAGUGCCCGAUUACUUAAGUCAGUUUACUAUCCCUCUUGUGAUAUUCUGGAAUCUGAACUAGGAAAUCAUCCAUCACAGAUUUGGCGAGCAAUCUUUGAAGGAAAGGAAGUGCUUAAGCAGGGUUUAAUCAGAAGAAUCAGAGAUGGAAAAUCAACGAGCAUCUAG